UACGUAGGGAGCAAGCGUUGUCCGGAAUCAUUGGGCGUAAAGCGCGCGUAGGUGGCCUCAUAAGUCCGCUGUGAAAGUCAAAGGCUCAACCUUUGAAAGCCGGUGGAUACUGUGGGGCUAGAGUACGGAAGAGGAGACUGGAAUUCCUGGUGUAGCAGUGAAAUGCGUAGAUAUCAGGAGGAAUACCGAUGGCGAAGGCAGAUCUCUGGGCCGUAACUGACGCUGAGGAGCGAAAGCGUGGGGAGCGAACAGG
rnacentral:rRNA from 1 species